rnacentral:lncRNA from 1 species
UUAGGCAGCCAGUUCACAAAAUAAAGUCUGCCAAAAGGAAUCGACUUCCAUCAAAAGGGAAAUGUCUUACGACCAGCUAGCCGGACAAGAUCACCGAUUCUUCAGGCUUCACCUCUUAAACUCCGGGGCUUCCAAUCCUUCACCCACACCAUUUAAGGAUCUGAAAAUGGUUAUACAAUAAUCAGUGAGACAAUGUCUCAACGAGUUCUACCCCCCCCCCCCCCCAAAAGACUCAAUUAGAAGACCAAUAUGCCACAAGGGUCGUCUAUGCACAACACAAGUCAAAGGACUUACCUUAGCCUUAGAUUCCACUUGCAAUUCAAUACAAUUCAAUAGGCACCCAAUCAAUCACCAUAGAUCGAAACAUCGAUCAAUCAAUCUAGUCAAUUACAUGUUAUCACGACCUUCCCCUGGUCAUUUUAAUAAAUAUCAUACAUUCUCUAAGAUGGAAUAUCUGGUCAUCAAGACCACGUGCAUUCUUCAAGAUAACAUACCGAGUCACCAAGCCCACGUGCCUUCUCCAAGAUGACAUACCUAAUCACCGAGACCAUGUGCAUUCUCAAAGAUGAUGUACCUAGUCGCCAGGCCCACGUGCCUUCUCCAAGGUGAUGUAUCAAGUCACUGAGUCAACAACUCACAAUGUCUUUCUUCGAGACGACAUGCUUAGUCAUCGAGCCCACAUAAUAUAAUGCAUUUCUCCAAGACGACAUCCUUAGUCAUUGAGCCAGCGUGAUAUAUUGCAUAAUCAAUUUCUCAUUUUUAUCAUGCCCGGUAAAGAUACACGUGUGUAGGUACACGUCCAGCCUUAGCCAAAAUAGUAUAAUUUCAUUUCCACAAAUCUCACUAUUUUCUGUAGUCCACUCAAAAAUAAUUAAUUUAGGAAUAAAUCCUAAAAAUCAUAAUUAAAUCAAUUCAACGCAAAUUAAAACUCAAAUAAAUAAAUAGACCGUAUCGUGGUAAUCAGCAUAAAAUUCCGGUCACCGACUAUCCCGGUUGAAUUUCCAGAAAAUAAAUAAUUAAUUAAUUAAUUACACAAAUUAAUUAUUAAAUAGCAAUAAAUCCAACUUAGGCCCGUAAUGCCUAAUUGGUCACCGAAACGGACCCGGAAAAAUUCCGAGGUUCGUUCAAUAAAUACUAGAACCUAUCUACUCGCUAAUGGCUACAUCUAACCACCUAACAUGCAUUGGCAAAUCACUAAUUUAAUUACUCUAAUCUAAUCUAACCAAAUAAUCAUGCUUAAAUAAAUCUAAUCAAUUCCUAAGCAUCAUUAGUCUACUAAGCAAGGAUUAGUGAGUUAAACUCACUUGUUUAUCAAACUGUUCGGUUCAAUUUGACAGGAACGCAACGGGAGCCGACUUUCUCCAAAGCGGCCUAGGUUUCGAGGCCCGGAACCAUCUCAAAACGAGCCAAACAACACCUCAGAAAACCACUAAUUUUCUAUUAUGUUCUUGCUAAAACAGAAGGGAACAAAGCCGGUUUAGAGCGGGAAUUGAUCGGGAAAGGGUGAAAGAGUCAAACCAGGCUUUGGAGAAGGCUUACCGGCGGAGGAACGGCGAAGGACAGCUCCGGUUGAGCUUCACACGACCCAGGGCAGCAGCUGGGAUGUGCGCUGGAUAGGGAAACACGCCUGGAAGGCAAGCUGGACGCGGCUGCGGGAACGGGAUCGCGCGGGUGGCGUGCGAUGGCGCGAUCGGCGAUGGGCGGCUCCUGCUAUCUCCGGCAAUGCUGCUAGCUUCUUGCUAGCUGCCGGUGGUUGAAUAGGCUGGGAGGAGAGGGAAUGGCUGCCAGUUGGCUUGAGGUGCAAGGAGACGGGACAAGGGCUCCACCAAUGUCCAAAUUUUCCAUUCCUUGGUCUCCCUUGACCAUUCUCAGCCACCAGUCCUUC